AGAGUUUGAUCAUGGCUCAGGACGAACGCUGGCGGCGUGCUUAACACAUGCAAGUGGAGCGACGAACCGGACUUCGGUCCGGGGCAAAGCCGCGAACGGGUGAGUAACACGUGGGUAACCUGCCCCGAUGAUUGGGACAACCUCGGGAAACCGAGGCUAAUACCAAAUGUGCUCACGUCUCAUGAGGGACGUGAGGAAAGGAAGCUUCGGCCUCCGCAUCGGGAUGGGCCCGCGGCGCAUUAGCUUGUUGGUGAGGUAACGGCUCACCAAGGCUUCGAUGCGUAGCUGGUCUGAGAGGACGAUCAGCCACACUGGGACUGAGACACGGCCCAGACUCCUACGGGAGGCAGCAGUGGGGAAUCUUGCGCAAUGCGCGAAAGCGUGACGCAGCAACGCCGCGUGCGGGAAGACGGCCUUCGGGUUGUAAACCGCUUUCAGUUGGGACGAAGCUUCGCCGGUGAAUAGCCGGCCGGAGUGACGGUACCUUCAGAAGAAGCCCCGGCUAACUACGUGCCAGCAGCCGCGGUAAUACGUAGGGGGCUAGCGUUGUCCGGAAUCAUUGGGCGUAAAGCGCGUGUAGGCGGCCCGAUAAGUCCGCUGUGAAAGUCCAGGGCUCAACCCUGGGAUGCCGGUGGAUACUGUCGGGCUCGAGUCCGGAAGAGGCGAGUGGAAUUCCUGGUGUAGCGGUGAAAUGCGCAGAUAUCAGGAGGAACACCAAUGGCGAAGGCAGCUCGCUGGGACGUGACUGACGCUGAGACGCGAAAGCGUGGGGAGCAAACAGGAUUAGAUACCCUAGUAGUCC
rnacentral:rRNA from 1 species